rnacentral:lncRNA from 1 species
CCGACUUCGAGGCCGAGAACGGCAUCGUCUUCCAGUUCUCGGGGUCCGAAGGAGCCGCUGGCGGAGCCAACAUGAUUGGAACUUACAGCUACCCCCAGGAGGACGGUUCUUUGGCCGAAGUCAAGUUCGUGGCCAACGAGAACGGCUACCAGCCCGAGUCGUCCCUCCUGCCCGUGGCCCCCGCCUUCCCCCACCCGAUCCCUCAGUUCGUCCUCGACCAGAUCGAGUUCGCACGCCUCGAGGACGAGCGCAAGGCUCUUGAGGCUGCAAGGGAGUAGCCACUUGAUGUGUCGGCAGAACAUUUCUUUAUCAGAGCAAAAAUGUCUGAUUGCUUUCGUAGACAAAAUUCGUCAUUCUUAUUCCUGCAUGGUUCAGUAUUUAUUCACACUCCAUUCCUAAUAAAAGAUAUACAUGUACUGAA